rnacentral:RNase_P_RNA from 1 species
UAAGUAAGACAGACGAUCGCGGCCGGAUGCGCGAGUAUCCGGGUGAGGAAAGUCCGGGCUUCACAGGGCAGGAUGCCGGAUAACGUCCGGUGGAGGCGACUCCAAGGCUAGUGCAACAGAAAUAAACCGCCAAAAAGAAGACUUUGCAGUAACCCUAUGGGAAGAAUGCAAAGCAAUCAACUUUUGGUAAGGGUGGAAAGGCAGCUUAAGAGACUACCGUCCGUCCGGUAACGGGCGGAGCCAUGUAAACCCCAUCC